rnacentral:rRNA from 1 species
UACAGAGGGUGCGAGCGUUAAUCGGAAUUACUGGGCGUAAAGCGCGCGUAGGCGGCUUUGCAAGUCGGGUGUGAAAUCCCCAGGCUUAACCUGGGAACUGCAUUCGAGACUGCAUUGCUAGAGUAUGGGAGAGGGAAGUGGAAUUUCCGGUGUAGCGGUGAAAUGCGUAGAUAUCGGAAGGAACAUCAGUGGCGAAGGCGGCUUCCUGGACCGACACUGACGCUGAGGCGCGAAAGCUAGGGGAGCAAACGGG